rnacentral:lncRNA from 1 species
ACCAAAAAGAACAACUUUAAAUUAGCAACUUUAAUUAAGGAUUACAAAACUUUUAUCAUUGAUCUAUUACACAUACCCUAAUUAAGGAUUACAAAACUAAUUAAGGAUUACAAAACUUUUAUCAUUGAUCUAUUACACAUACCCUAAUUAAGGAUUACAAAACUUAGUUAUGCCAAAUUAGCAACUUUAAAUUUUAUUUUAUUUUUCUUAACAUGGGAUUUUCAUUUUAUUUACAAUUUGUCACCCAAAUAUGUCUUCACCUGCAUUGCAGUAAAGCUCGCUACAUUGCUCCUUCAAGAAGCACAUUUCUUCUGCCUUUUCAACUAUGCCACCAACUUCAUGGGAUCCGUCUGUUAAGCAACACACAUCAAGCACACAAUUCGACUUUUAAAUGCAAUAAUUAGCAUAUACGUACCCAACAAAAUUUUAACGAAAGUAAUACUUCGCAAUAUUAGGUUAAGUUUCAUUUCAGCUAAUAACUUCAUAACUAACAUCACAUAGACACAUACAAUAGUAGUACAGCAAACCAAAAAAUAGCCUCAAAUUGAAGUCGGCAUAACAACAAAGAACCUGUAUAAUUCUUCAAAGCUUAGUUUGUGCUUAUAAAUCUUGUAAAUUACAUGCUCUAAUUUUUUUGUGUUUGAAAGCUUCAGUCUGAAAAUCCUUUUAUUUUGACCGCUACUCAUCUUAUCCACAAAUUAUAAAUAAAUAAAAUAAAAUAAAAUAACAAAAGUAUUGAAAAAUGUGGCAGAAGAUUGAAAGUUGAAACAAUAAAAUUAUUGAGAAACAAAUUUACUCUAGGAAAGGAAAAAAAAAAGAAGAAAAGCCAAAACAUGUAAAUCAGACUUAACAUAAUUCGUAAUGGAGGGUGAUGCAACUGUGUGUGAACAAAAGUUAUUCCGUUUAUAUGAGUAGAAAUGACCCAAAUCUAUAGCAAAGGAUUAUAAUGAAGAAGGUUGUCUGUGUAAUAUCAUCUUGAGUAGUAAAAAAAUGCCUCAUGAGCUCGGACACAUAGAAAGAAAAAAAAAAUGGCAUAUAAAAUGCAGAGUUACAGAAUUAAUGAUUGCACAAAAUAGGAAUAUUUUUUAUAAUCAAAGAAGAAAGAAACAUUUAAAAUGACAUGAUAAAUUACUACCGUUUUCCGAUCCCUCUUGCUGAAAUGUGCAUUUACAGCUUCGUUGAGAUUGCCAUGGU